rnacentral:rRNA from 1 species
CCUACGGGUGGCAGCAGUGAGGAAUAUUGGUCAAUGGCCGGAAGGCUGAACCAGCCAUGCCGCGUGAAGGUCAGUGCCCUAUGGGCGUUAAACUUCUUUUGUGCGGGAGCAAUAAUGGUCACGUGUGGCCAGACGAGAGUACCGUACGAAUAAGCAUCGGCUAACUCCGUGCCAGCAGCCGCGGUAAUACGGGGGAUGCAAGCGUUAUCCGGAUUUUUUGGGGUUAAAGGGUGCGUAGGCUGGGCAGUAAGGCAGCGGGGAAAUGCCCCCGCUCAACGGGGUGAAGUGCCAUUGAUACUGCCUUGCUGGAAUGCGGAUGCCGUGGGCGGAAUGUGUGGUGUAGCGGUGAAAUGCAUAGAUAUCACACAGAACACCGAUUGCGAAGGCAUCUCACGAAUCCGCGAUUGACGCUGAUGCACGAAAGCGUGGGUAUCAAACAGGAUUAGAUACCCUAGUAGUC